rnacentral:rRNA from 1 species
GGGGUGAGUAACGCGUGGGUAACCUGCCCUAUACACAUGGAUAACAUACUGAAAAGUUUACUAAUACAUGAUAAUAUAUAUUUACGGCAUCGUAGAUAUAUCAAAGUGUUAGCGGUAUAGGAUGGACCCGCGUCUGAUUAGCUAGUUGGUGAGAUAACUGCCCACCAAGGCGACGAUCAGUAGCCGACCUGAGAGGGUGAUCGGCCACAUUGGAACUGAGACACGGUCCAAACUCCUACGGGAGGCAGCAGUU